UAACGUUUAAAUAUUACAGCCACCGUUCCCAAUUGAGUUUUCCAUUAAAGAAAAUAAUUUAAGCGCUUUUCCUGCGGAAUUAAUCAGAAAUUCAUAAAGAGGCAAGUAAUAAAACGCCACACCAAUAUCACAUUGAUUGUUUCUGCAACGCUGUUUGAUUGCGGUACGUACAAUUAUAUGAGAUGCGCGGAGAUAUUGCUUUCAAUAUGGCGAUCUAUACGGCUUUGAUAUUAUUCCUUUGUGUCGUUUUAUCUCAAUGCGAGUAUAAUUAUGUGAAGUAUGGCAGAGCUGACAAUGGCCCAUUUCCGUCUAGUUUAAAGAACAUGCCCUACUAUUGCUAUCAAGUGCCAUCGAAAGGGCCCUGUGAGGGCAUGUUUUAUGUGUGGUUCUUUGACGUAGUGAGAAGAAAGUGUAUGCCAAUGAUGUAUUCUGGGUGCGGAG